CAGCAAUUCUAAACAAUGUGUAAACAUGUAACACUGUUAUUUACUUUCGGCUAAUAUGAUUCUGUUCAGGUGAAAAGAGAACAAAGAAACGAAAUGGGAAAAAGGCAGGACAAGGUCCACAUUUCAGGACUUCCCUUCCUCCUCCACCCCAGAUAGAAUCCCCCAUUCCACGGCGUAGCGCACUACAAAUAUCUUCACCCCCUGUGACUGAUGACGGUAGAGUUUUGCAAGGGAAUGAUGGUUAAAAACAAAUACAAAUAAUUGCAUAGAAGUCAAGAAGACACUAUGUUUCGAAACAAAAACACAUAACCUAAAUUCUUAUCUUGUUCUUUCUGUAGAUUACUCCCCUCCUUCACCGGCAAGAGACGUUUUUACAGAAAAUGAUGGGUCGGAUGGAACGGCAGGCGGAAGAACAUCCCCAAAAUGAAAUUCAAAAUGAUUUGAAAUAAAAAUAUAAUAAAUUGAUAUUUGUUAGUGUACUGUCUUG
rnacentral:lncRNA from 1 species